UACGUAGGGUGCGAGCGUUGUCCGGAAUUAUUGGGCGUAAAGAGCUCGUAGGCGGUUUGUUGCGUCGGCCGUGAAAACUAGGGGCUUAACUAUGGGCUUGCGGUCGAUACGGGCAUCACUGGAGUUCGGCAGGGGAGACUGGAAUUCCUGGUGUAGCGGUGAAAUGCGCAGAUAUCAGGAGGAACACCGGUGGCGAAGGCGGGUCUCUGGGCCGAUACUGACGCUGAGGAGCGAAAGCGUGGGGAGCGAACAGG
rnacentral:rRNA from 1 species